UUAGUUUCUCCCUUUUCCAAUUUAUUUUAAAGUUUUAAAAAGACAGCAAAAUUUUCCCGGCACAAGUAACACUUGUUUAAAAAAGGCGGGGGGGGAGGGGGACGCGCAAGUACGCGAUUUUUCUAUUUUAUUAAAAAUAAGAGAAGGACAACUGUACAGGUUUUUUCUCCCAGCUCCCGGGCGUGAAACUAAGUACUAACCCUAGAUAUGUAUAUAUACACAUACACACACAUGCACACAGAUCUAGCUCUGUAAAACUACUUAGCAAAUCCCAAAUCGACUGCAGUAUGUCUUACUGUCCACUGCCCGCCCACUCCCCCUCCCCCUCCCCCAGCUACAACUACUUAUAAUAAAAGACUCAAAUAAAAGAGAUCGGGAGGUUUUAAGUGGCCGCAGCCCCACCAAACCAAGCAAAGACACCUCUUGUACAGGAGGAACAAAAAUCCCAGAAGAAAAGUCUUCCUAGGACACAAUCCAUCGAUUGCAUGGAAAAAUCCAAGUUUCAACAGGGCACACUGAGGCACUUGGCUGACUCCCCACCCUUCCCCUAAAGUUUUCACUCCGGUUUAACAAGAGAAUUUUGCUGAAGCCACAAAGAUCCUCCAAUGGCUACAUCCUAGCUGACUGGGACAAGCUAUGGCUUCUCCCAUCCAGCUGUCACUUGGACCCCACUCCCUUUCCCUAAGACAAUAGGGAGACCGAAAGGGCAAACUAACAGAAAUGAGAAGGAAACUGGGUUUGGGCCCCCACUGCUCACCACUGGGAGGUGGAAGUCAGCCCGGUGGCAGUUUUUUCCACCUCCUUCCUUUGCCGGCUGGCUGCUCCCUACCACCUCUCUCCUCCUGGCCAAAGGUUCUGAAACUCUCACGACGGGUGCCCAACUCAAAGAAAGCUCACUCACCCUAAAGAUACUCCUGCUAACCUCACGAUUCCUGGGUUCCCUUCUCAUCUAGCCAGAACAUACUGCCUUGUGUCUUCUCCCCACCCCCAUCUACCUUCAUGGCAAACAAACCAACAAAACACACAAGCCCCCCCACCCCCCGGCAAAUCCCUAACCCGGUAAGUAGGUUAAUAGCAAAACAAAAUAUAAGUACACUCUCAUCAUUAUAGAGAUUGGUUGUUGCUGUCCUUGCACAACUGGUUAAGGAAAAAUGAAUUAUUCUGUAAUUUCUGAAGAAUCCAAAUCCUGUCUCUUACAAAGUCAGAACAGAAGGAUGCAAAAGGUGGUGGUGAGCAUCAAGACAAAAAAGGAGAAAAGUAUUUACAGAAAAUAGGAGACAGGAGGGAGUGUCUGCAAGAAAAGACUUCAUUGUCACUUCUUCUUGCCGGCCCUCUUGGCACUGGACUUUGCUUUGGGUUUCACUGGUUUGGCCUUCUUGGGUUUGGAUGCCUUGACCGGCUUGGCUUUGACAGUCUUGGGUUUUUUGGCUUUCUUGGGCGUGGCAGCCAGCUUCUUCUUGGCCUUCUUGACUGGGGUGGCUUUGGGUUUCUUGGUUGGGGCUUUGGAGGCAGCCUUCUUGGGCUUGGAUGCCUUCUUUGGCGUGGCUACCUUCUUGAUUUCCUUCUUGGUCUUCUUGAAGGCCACUGACUUCUUGGGCUCGUCGCUCUUGGCUAGCCGGAAGGAUCCCGACGCCCCCACCCCUUUGGUCUGCUUGAGGACACCGGUGGUGACCAGGCGCUUGAUGGACAACUUGAUCUGCGAGUCAGCGUUCUCACCCACCUUGUAGUGGCUCUUGAUAUACUUCUGGAUGGACUGGCGCGAGGAGCCAGCGCGGUUCUUCUCCGCCUGGAUGGCAGCCACGAUCAUAUCUGAAUACUUGGGGUGGUCUGUGGACUUCUUGGAGGCCUUGGCCCGCUUGGGCUUGGCCGCAGGGGCGGACGUGGAAUUCUCGGUCAUGGUGGCCUGUCUGGUCCGGCUGUUGAAGGCGCCUUCCAAAAGGCCAGCCCUCGUCGGAGGCUGAGCAAAACCUGCCUCGGGAUGUGCUCUUGAGCCCCUGACUACCGGGCCAGUCCGGAGUGCGGCUCCCGGGGAUGCGAGCGAGGAGUCGCUGCUUAUCCUUUCCAGCUGGGGUGUCGGGAGAGCCGGCUCUGCGAGGCCCAGCCCCGCCGGUCUGUCGCUUGGUCUCGGCGCCGGGCUCUGGCUCUGGCUCUGGCUCUGGCUCUGCCUCUGCCUCUGCCUCUGCCUCCGCCUCCUCUGCCUCCCUUUUCCCAGCUCCGCGUCU
rnacentral:lncRNA from 1 species